UACGUAGGCAGCGAGCGUUGUUCGGAAUUACUGGGCGUAAAGAGUGUGUAGGCGGUGCUCCCAGUCUGUUGUGAAAUCUCCCGGCUUAACUGGGAGGGUGCAGCGGAAACUAGAGUGCUAGAGGGUGGGAGAGGUAAGCGGAAUUCCCGGUGUAGCGGUGAAAUGCGCAGAUAUCGGGAGGAACACCAGUAGCGAAGGCGGCACUCUGGGCCGGUACUGACGCUGAGGAGCGAAAGCGUGGGGAGCGAACAGG
rnacentral:rRNA from 1 species